rnacentral:rRNA from 1 species
UGAGCGGAGAUUAUGGAGCUUGCUUUAUAUAACUUAGCAGCGAACGGGUGAGUAACACGUAGAUAAUCUAUCCUAUACUGGGGGAUAGCCCGAUGAAAGUUGGAUUAAUACCGCAUAUAGCUAUAUAGUUGCAUGAUUAUGUAGUGAAAGAUUUAUUGGUAUAGGAGGAGUCUGCGGCACAUUAGCUAGUAGGUGAGGUAAAGGCUUACCUAGGCGACGAUGUGUAGCCGGUCUGAGAGGACGAACGGCCACAAUGGAACUGAGACACGGUCCAUACUCCUACGGGAGGCAGCAGUGGGGAAUAUUGCACAAUGGGGGAAACCCUGAUGCAGCAACGCCGCGUGAGUGAAGAAGGUUUUCGGAUUGUAAAGCUCUGUUAGCAGGGAAGAGGAAGGACGGUACCUGCAGAGGAAGCCACGGCUAACUACGUGCCAGCAGCCGCGGUAAUACGUAGGUGGCAAGCGUUGUUCGGAAUAACUGGGCGUAAAGGAUGCGUAGGCGGUUAAACAAGUUAUAUGUUAAAUAUAUAGGCUUAACCUGUAGAAAGCAUAUAAAACUGUUUAACUAGAGUGCAGGAGAGGUAAGUGGAAUUCCUAGUGUAGCGGUGAAAUGCGUAGAGAUUAGGAAGAACACCAGUGGCGAAGGCGACUUACUGGACUGUAACUGACGCUGAGGCAUGAGAGCAUGGGGAGCAAACAGGAUUAGAUACCCUGGUAGUCCAUGCUGUAAACGAUGGGUACUAGGUGUGGGUUGUGAAUAACAAUUCGUGCCGUCGCAAACGCAAUAAGUACCCCGCCUGAGGA